AACGUAGGUUCCGAGCGUUAUCCGGAUUUACUGGGCGUAAAGCGCGUUCAGGCGGUUUGGCAAGUCGGGCAUGAAAUCUCUCGGCUCAACCGGGAGAGGUUGUCCGAUACUGCUGGACUUGAGGGCAGUAGAGGGUGGUGGAAUUCCGGGUGUAGUGGUGAAAUGCGUAGAUAUCAGAAGGAACACCCAUGGCGAAGGCCGCUCGCUGGCCUACAACUGACGCUGAGGCGCGAAAGCGUGGGGAGCAAACAGG
rnacentral:rRNA from 1 species